rnacentral:rRNA from 1 species
UACGAGGGGGGCUAGCGUUGUUCGGAAUCACUGGGCGUAAAGCGCACGUAGGCGGAUUUGUCAGUCAGGGGUGAAAUCCCGGGGCUCAACCUCGGAACUGCCUUUGAUACAGCAAGUCUCGAGCCCGGAAGAGGUGGGUGGAAUUCCUAGUGUAGAGGUGAAAUUCGUAGAUAUUAGGAAGAACACCAGUGGCGAAGGCGGCCCACUGGUCCGGUGCUGACGCUGAGGUGCGAAAGCGUGGGGAGCAAACAGG